ACUGCUCAGUAACACGUGGACAACCUGCCCUUAGGUUGGGUAUAAACCCGGGAAACUGGGUAUAAUACCCGAUAGGUCUCGAUUGCUGGAAUGCAUCGAGAUUUAAAGCUCCGGCGCCUAAGGAUGGGUCUGCGGCCUAUCAGGUAGUAGUGGGUGUAGCGUACCUACUAGCCUACGACGGGUACGGGUUGUGAGAGCAAGAGCCCGGAGAUGGAUUCUGAGACACGAAUCCAGGCCCUACGGGGUGCAGCAGGCGCGAAAACUUUACAAUGCUGGCAACAGCGAUAAGGGAACCUCGAGUGCCAGGUUACAAAUCUGGCUGUCGAGAUGCCUAAAAAGCAUUUCAUAGCAAGGGCCGGGCAAGACCGGUGCCAGCCGCCGCGGUAACACCGGCGGCUCGAGUGGUAACCGUUAUUAUUGAGUCUAAAGGGUCUGUAGCCGGCCGGAUAAGUCUCUUGAGAAAUCUGGCAGCUUAACUGUCAGGCUUUCAGGAGAUACUGUCUGGCUCGAGGCCGGGAGAGGUGAGAGGUACUUCAGGGGUAGGGGUGAAAUCUUGUAAUCCUUGAAGGACCACCAGUGGCGAAGGCGUCUCACCAGAACGGACCUGACGGCAAGGGACGAAAGCUAGGGGCACGAACCGGAUUAGAUACCCGGGUAGUCCUAGCCGUAAACGAUACUCGCUAGGUGUCGGCCACGGUGCGACCGUUGUCGGUGCCGUAGGGAAGCCGUGAAGCGAGCCACCUGGGAAGUACGGCCGCAAGGCUGAAACUUAAAGGAAUUGGCGGGGGAGCAC
rnacentral:rRNA from 1 species